AAUGAGGUUUGGAACAGACUUGGCGAAGAACAUGGAAACAUCUCUGAAUGAAAUGGCCCCAAACAUCAUCAGGAGUGCAAAAGAAGGAAGUCAAAAAAAAAAAAAAAAAAACUACGCCAAUCUCAUUGGACUAGCAGAGGAAACCACAGAAGGUCUCGUUAGUAAUGCUGCACUCAUUUUAUUGCCAGCACUAUUUAGAGAAAACGCCAGCUUCCUCUACUGUGUAGAUAGUGAACCCAAAGGUGCUACACCAACCAUAGUGUUUAACGGCUCUCCUGAUCCCCUCAAGGCUGAAAGUGUCAGCAUUAUAAUGGACAAUGUGAACAUCAUAAGAGAGGCAGACAUUGACAUGACACAGGCUGUGGAAUGCCUAUUUGCAGUCUAUUUUCUCUUCAAUGUGCAGUACCCGGUUGACAUUAAGCACACAAUGACUUUUAUUUAAAAAUAUAUGCUUAAACUUAGACAACAGCACGGCAAAAGAACACCAAAACCUGUACUGAAAAUGUACAGUCAACUUGUGUAAAUUGUAGAGCUAUUUAAUAGUUGUUUUAACAGUUCAUGUAUUGAUUUUUAUCUGCACUGUUAAAUAUCAAAAAUGAUUUGUUUUUCCUCAUUUCAGAGAUAUAUGUAAAAGUGAAGUACUGUAUAUGUACGUAAACAAGCUUAUGUAUGUUUAUUACAAAGUGAAAAUGCUUAAAUGAAAUAAUUCAAACUAAAUGGUUAAAUGUAAUUAAACAUCUUAAAUGUGAAAUUUGCUGUCUAAUACAGAGUAUACAGAGGUGCAAUU